GACUGCGGAGGAUCAUUAAUGAUUGACCGUCUGUCGAGCUUGCUCACAGGCACAUCAUAUCCAUAACACCUGUGCACUUGUCGGAUGGCUUAGUGAAGACCGCAAGGUUGGAUCUAUCCAUCUACUUUACAUAACAAUUCUGUAACAAUGUAGUCUUAUUAUAACAUAAUAAAACUUUCAACAACGGAUCUCUUGGCUCUCGCAUCGAUGAAGAACGCAGCGAAAUGCGAUAAGUAAUGUGAAUUGCAGAAUUCAGUGAAUCAUCGAAUCUUUGAACGCACCUUGCGCUCCUUGGUAUUCCGAGGAGCAUGCCUGUUUGAGUGUCAUGAAAACCCUCAACCCUAGAUUGGUUAAUACCUUUCUUUGGUUUGGAUUUGGACGUUUGCCGAUGAUAAGUCGGCUCGUCUUAAAAGUAAUAGCUGGAUCUGUCUCGCGACAUGGUUUGACUUAGCGUAAUAAGUAUUUCGCUAAGGACAUCUUCGGAUGGCCGCGUUGCAGGACUAAAGACCGCUUUCUAAUCCAUUGAUCUUCGGAUUAAUAUUCUUGACAUCUGGCCUCAAAUCAGGUAGGACU
rnacentral:rRNA from 1 species